UGGGGAAUAUUGCACAAUGGGCGGGAGCCUGAUGCAGCAACGCCGCGUGCGGGAUGACGGCCUUCGGGUUGUAAACCGCUUUCGCCUGUGACGAAGCGUGAGUGACGGUAAUGGGUAAAGAAGCACCGGCUAACUACGUGCCAGCAGCCGCGGUGAUACGUAGGGUGCGAGCGUUGUCCGGAUUUAUUGGGCGUAAAGGGCUCGUAGGUGGUUGAUCGCGUCGGAAGUGUAAUCUUGGGGCUUAACCCUGAGCGUGCUUUCGAUACGGGUUGACUUGAGGAAGGUAGGGGAGAAUGGAAUUCCUGGUGGAGCGGUGGAAUGCGCAGAUAUCAGGAGGAACACCAGUGGCGAAGGCGGUUCUCUGGGCCUUUCCUGACGCUGAGGAGCGAAAGCGUGGGGAGCGAACAGGCUUAGAUACCCUGGUAGUCCACGCUGCAAACGGUGGGUACUAGGUGUGGGGGUCCAUUCCACGGGUUCCGUGCCGUAGCUAACGCUUUAAGUACCCCGCCUGGGGAGUACGGCCGCAAGGCUAAAACUCAAAGGAAUUGACGGGGUCAUAGCUGUUUCCU
rnacentral:rRNA from 1 species